GGAGGAUCUAAACUCUGCCGUGAU
rnacentral:siRNA from 1 species